rnacentral:pre_miRNA from 1 species
GAUACUCGAAGGAGAGGUUGUCCGUGUUGUAUUCUCUUUAUUUAUGAUGAAACAUACAUGGGAAACCUCUUUUUUAGUAUC